rnacentral:rRNA from 1 species
CCAGCUGUAAACUCUGGGUACUAGGUGUGGGGGGCUUCGAUGCCCUCUGUGCCGUAGUUAACGCAUUAAGUACCCCGCCUGGGGAGUACGAUCGCAAGGUUGAAACUCAAAGGAAUUGAC